rnacentral:rRNA from 1 species
GACGAACGCUGGCGGCGUGCUUAACACAUGCCAGUCGAACGGAAAGGCCCUGCUUUUGUGGGGUGCUCGAGUGGCGAACGGGUGAGUAACACGUGAGUAACCUGCCCUUGACUUUGGGAUAACUUCAGGAAACUGGGGCUAAUACCGGAUAGGAGCUCCUGCUGCAUGGUGGGGGUUGGAAAGUUUCGGCGGUUGGGGAUGGACUCGCGGCUUAUCAGCUUGUUGGUGGGGUAGUGGCUUACCAAGGCUUUGACGGGUAGCCGGCCUGAGAGGGUGACCGGCCACAUUGGGACUGAGAUACGGCCCAGACUCCUACGGGAGGCAGCAGUGGGGAAUAUUGCACAGUGGGCGGAAGCCUGAUGCAGAAACGCCGCGUGCGGGAUGACGGCCUUCGGGUUGUAAACCGCUUUCGCCUGUGACGAAGCGUGAGUGACGGUAAUGGGUAAAGAAGCACCGGCUAACUACGUG